rnacentral:rRNA from 1 species
UACGUAGGGGGCAAGCGUUGUCCGGAUUUAUUGGGCGUAAAGAGCGUGUAGGCGGCUAGGUAGGUCCGUUGUGAAAACUCGAGGCUCAACCUCGAGACGCCGAUGGAAACCAUCUAGCUGGAGUCCGGAAGAGGAGAGUGGAAUUCCUGGUGUAGCGGUGAAAUGCGCAGAUAUCAGGAAGAACACCCGUGGCUAAGGCGGCUCUCUAGUACGGUACUGACGCUGAGACGCGAAAGCGUGGGGAGCGAACAGG